UACGGAAGGCAGCAGUGGGGAAUAUUGCACAAUGGGCGAAAGCCUGAUGCAGCUAUGCCGCGUGUAUGAAGAAGGCCUUAGGGUUGUAAAGUACUUUCAUCGGGGAGGAAAAACAAAACUAAUAAUUUUAUUUCUUGACGUUACCCGAAAAAGAAGCACCGGCUAACUCCGUGCCAGCAGCCGCGGUAAUACGGAGGGUGCUAGCGUUAAUCAGAAUUACUGGGCGUAAAGAGCACGUAGGUGGUUUUUUUAAAGUCAGAUGUGAAAUCCCUGGGCUUAACCUGGAACUGCAUUUUGAAACUGAAAUACUAGAGUAUCGUAGAGGGAGGUAGAAUUCUAGGUGUAGCGGUGAAAUGCGUAGAUAUCUGGAGGAAUACCUGUGGCGAAAGCGGCCUCCUAAACGAAUACUGACACUGAGGUGCGAAAGCGUGGGGAGCAAACAGGGAUUAGAUACC
rnacentral:rRNA from 1 species